rnacentral:misc_RNA from 1 species
GAUGAAGAACGUAGCGAAAUGCGAUAAGUAAUGUAAAUUGCAGAAUUCAGUGAAUCAUCGAAUCUUUGAACGCACCUUGCACCCUUUGGCAUUCUGAAGGGUAUGCUCGUUUGAGUGUCAUUGUACUCUCACACUCCCGAUCUUUGCAUUGGGAGCAGUGGACUUGGGUUUGCUGCUUCACCGUCGCUUACCUCAAAUAGGUUAGUGCAACUCUUGGUUGGACAUAGUACGGCGUGAUAAGUGUUCUUCGCCGGUGCCUCGCAAAGAGGGUGGCCGAUCGGGAUGUUGUGCUCCAAACCGUCUUCGGACAAUCUCUGACGACUUGACCUCAAAUCGAGUAAGACUACCCGCUGAACUUAAGCAUAUCAAUAAGCGGAGGA